GCUGGGGUGGCGAAACUGGCAGCCGCACGGGUUUUAGGAGCCCGUGGGAGCAAUCCCGUGGGAGUUCGAAUCUCCCCCCCAGCA
rnacentral:tRNA from 1 species